AUACUCGGGGAUAGCCUUUCGAAAGAAAGAUUAAUACCCGAUGGUAUAAUCAGACCGCAUGGUUUGAUUAUUAAAGAAUUUCGGUUAUCGAUGGGGAUGCGUUCCAUUAGGCAGUUGGUGAGGUAACGGCUCACCAAACCUUCGAUGGAUAGGGGUUCUGAGAGGAAGGUCCCCCACAUUGGAACUGAGACACGGUCCAA
rnacentral:rRNA from 1 species